rnacentral:rRNA from 1 species
UGGGGAAUAUUGGACAAUGGGCGCAAACCUGAUCCAGCCAUGCCGCGUGAGUGAUGAAGGCCCUAGGGUUGUAAAGCUCUUUCACCGGUGAAGAUAAUGACGGUAACCGGAGAAGAAGCCCCGGCUAACUUCGUGCCAGCAGCCGCGGUAAUACGAAGGGGGCUAGCGUUGUUCGGAUUUACUGGGCGUAAAGCGCACGUAGGCGGACUAUUAAGUCAGGGGUGAAAUCCCGGGGCUCAACCCCGGAACUGCCUUUGAUACUGGUAGUCUUGAGUUCGAGAGAGGUGAGUGGAAUUCCGAGUGUAGAGGUGAAAUUCGUAGAUAUUCGGAGGAACACCAGUGGCGAAGGCGGCUCACUGGCUCGAUACUGACGCUGAGGUGCGAAAGCGUGGGGAGCAAACAGG